UACGGGGGGGGCGAGCGUUGUUCGGAAUUACUGGGCGUAAAGGGUGCGUAGGCGGUGCGGUAAGUCUGGUGUGAAACCUCUGGGCUCAACUCAGAGCUGGCAUCAGAGACUGCCGUGCUAGAGUGUGGGAGAGGAGAGUGGAAUUCCCGGUGUAGCGGUGAAAUGCGUAGAUAUCGGGAGGAACAUCGGUGGCGAAGGCGGCUCUCUGGACCACAACUGACGCUGAGGCACGAAAGCCAGGGGAGCAAACAGG
rnacentral:rRNA from 1 species